rnacentral:rRNA from 1 species
GGAAUAUUGGGCAAUUGGCGCAAGCCUGACCCAGCAACGCCGCGUGAAGGAAGAAGGCUUUCGGGUUGUAAACUUCUUUUAUCAGGGACGAAGGAUGUGACGGUACCUGAUGAAUAAGCCACGGCUAACUACGUGCCAGCAGCCGCGGUAAUACGUAGGUGGCGAGCGUUGUCCGGAUUUACUGGGUGUAAAGGGCGCGUAGGCGGGGAAGCAAGUCAGAUGUGAAAUCUAUGGGCUCAACCCAUAAACUGCAUUUGAAACUGUUUCUCUUGAGUGCCGGAGAGGUAGACGGAAUUCCUAGUGUAGCGGUGAAAUGCGUAGAUAUUAGGAGGAACACCAGUGGCGAAGGCGGUCUACUGGACGGUAACUGACGCUGAGGCGCGAAAGCGUGGGGAGCAAACA